rnacentral:rRNA from 1 species
AUUGAACGCUGGCGACAGGCCUAACACAUGCAAGUCGAGCGAGCGGCGGACGGGUGAGUAAUGUCUGGGAAACUGCCCGAUGGAGGGGGAUAACUACUGGAAACGGUAGCCAAUACCGCAUACCAUCAGAUGUGCCCAGAUGGGAUUAGCUAGUAGGUGGGGUAAUGGCCGACCUAGGCGACGAUCCCUAGCUGGUCUGAGAGGAUGACCAGCGACAUGGUAACGGAGACACGGUCAAGGGUCCUACGGGAGGGAGCAGUGGGGAAUAUGAGGCAAUGGGCGCAAGCCUGAUGCAGCCAUGCCGCGUGUGGGAAGAAGGCGUUCGGUUUGUAAAGCACUUUCAGCGGGGAUGCGGUACCCGCAGAAGAAGCACCGGCUAACUCCGUGCCAGCAGCCGCGGUAAUAC